rnacentral:lncRNA from 1 species
AAUGGAUAAAAUUUCAGGUGAGAACGUGACAUCAAUGCUGAGCGGAUGCUCUGAAACUUCAAAAUUAGCCAGGCUAUAGGAAACCAACCCCCACAAUAUUUUUCAAGGAACCUUGGGUCCAAAUCACUCUGAUAAUGACCACUCGGAAUUUAUUUUGGGGGUGGGUGGGUGCACCAGGCACAAACCAGGUGCCAGGGAGCAGACAGUUCUCUUCAAUUUGCUGUAUGCUGUGUGCUGACACCAUGAAGGGCCACCUCUGCUCCCCUUUUGCAGCAGUGAGGCUGAAAAUAGGUUGAUAAACACCUUUGUGCAAAGGGGGAAAGAGACAUUUGUUUUCUCAGUGCCACCCUGCAGCAGGGCCAGGAGAAGAUUUCCCUCUCCCGGACCCCAGAUCAGCGCCUUUGCUCUGGGAUCCCAGCUCCCAGGUCUAUCAGAUGCAGAGCGCUCCCACACCUCCCCAAAUCCAUAUUUAUUAGCUCAGAGAAAGCAUUUCGGAUCUCGGCUCCCGUGCACCGAGCAGCUCGCCCACGAGCAGCUUCCAAACGCCUCCCUGCCCGCUGCCGGGAAGCUGACUCGUGGCGUUCUGCCUCCCAAAUCCAAUCAGCCAAUUACGCUCCCUAAUUGCCUACAAUGGAUUUAAUUGGGCUGGGACAACAUGCAGCACCUCAAUAAAUUCCCCACAAAAAUGAGGAAAGUAGCACAGCAACGGGCCCUUGGCAUUAGGCAUUACCUCCCAGCCCCAACCACUCUUGGUUUCCAGUGCCAGUGGCUGCCACCGCCUGGGGACACUUGUCACCACGGGUCAGGUGAUGCUCAGCUCCUGGGGCCACACAAACCAGCAGCGUCCCGGUGCAGCAAACACCUGAGCAAGAACGGAGCUAUCCAUCACAGAGCAUCGAGCUCAUCAGCCGGAGCAUCUGCCUGAGCAAAUCACCUCCAACAGUCGUUAGCCCAGAGCUCGCUGCUCACGGAGCAGGCAGGAGGCUGCCAGCAGCCCGGGGGUGUGCAGGUUAUGGCAGGGCAUCCCAAAGCCCCACCGACGUGAGGCACUGCACACCCUCCUACGACCCAAGUCCAAACAGAAAGCAAUC